UCAACUUUUGAGGAGGAUGUGUUUUUGCAUGCAAUUUUACUUUGAAGAAGUUGUGGCGUGGUUACCGAUAGUAUGACUGUCUUGGGAAUGUGAGCAAGAUGUGAAGUUCUUUAGUAUGCCAGUUUGGCAUGUUUCUGAAUAUACCGGUCAACACAGUUUACCUAUUGGUCCAAGUGCCUCUGGAUGGAAGUGUUCUGGUAUUCAAGUUGGAAAGUGCAAAUCUAAAUUUGUACCAUGAAGGAUGAGUCGUUAGAUGUUUGGAAGGAUUGAAUUAGGUAAGUGGUUGUAAUCUCCUGAUCACCCCUUCUAGACUUGGUGAUACAUCGGGAUGAGAGUGACCAACUGUAGGUUUAUAUCUUAACGUUGUGACUGUCUCUUGCGUGGAUCUACCCGCACUUGUAUUUUUUUGGGAGUUAGUGAUGUUGGUAGAAGAGGUGAAGUGUUGAUGUUUCUUUAAUCUGGAACCAUAAAGGUUUUAAAUUGAUCCUUCCUGUGAAGGAGUUGAAGUUGAAGUGAAGAAGGUUUAUAUUCUUAUUGGGGGGGUUUCGACCCGAGUUUAUGGAGUUAGCCAAAUAAUAUUUUUUUUUUGGUGUGAUUGCAUUCACCAAAAAGGAUGUUUCUGGGCAAUUAAUGCCUUGGUUUUAGAACUAGUCGAAGAGAGUGUCUCAUAAUUGGCUGGUAUAGUAUUAGCAGAAAUGUUGUGUGUUCUUGGAUUCGUUUUCCCUUCUAAGAGUGAGAAGGCAACGGAAUGGUAAAGACCGUCCAAUGUAACCGAGAUUCAGAGUUUUCUUGGAUUCGCUGGCCAUUACUGACAUUUUAUACAAGGUUCUUCCUUUAUUGCAAAGCCUAUGAUUAGACUUACUGAGAAGUGUGUUCCAUUUGUAUGGACUGAUGAAUGUGAGAUAAAUUUCCAAACUUUGAAGAAUAAGUCAGUGAACGCUCCUUUUCUGGCUUUGCCCGAGAGUGGCAAGCGUUUCGCAGUCUACACCGAUAUUGUCCGAAUUGGACUUGACUGUGUGUUUAUGCAAGGAGAUCAAAUAAUUGCAUAUACUUCCAGACAAUUGAAAACUCAUGAACAGAAUUAUCCCACUCAUGAUUUAGAAUUGGCUGUAGUGGUUUUUGCCUUGAAGAGUUGGAGGCAUUACCUGUAUGGUGAGUCAUGUGAUAUUUUCACGGAUCAUAAGAGUCUCAAGUAUAUUUUCACUCAGAGAGAUCUGAAUUUGAGACAACGAAGAUGGUUAGAAUUAAUCAAAGACUAUGAUCUGAUAAUUUAGUACCAUCCCGGAAAGGCUAAUGUUGUAGCUAACGCCUUAGCAGAACAGGUGUACCUAAAGCAAUAAUGUUUUUCCAUUCGGAUUUGGAUCGGAUGGGGAUAUCUUUUUGCUUGGCUGGCACUGUGCAGAAAGAAACUCAAAUGAUCAUCCAAUCUGCUAUACUUGAGUGUGUACGUGAAGCUCAACAAUAUGAUCGUCUUCUUUUAGAAGUUCGAAAGAGGACUUCGAUGAAAAAAAAAUCAAAGGAAUUUACCAUUGUUGAUAAUGGCGCAAUACGCUUCAGAGGACGUCUUUGUGUACCACAAAAGGCAGAUGUGAAAAUGAAUAUCUUGAGAGAGGCCCACUAGACUCCUUAUACAAUUCAUCCGGGUAGAACCAAAAUGUAUCGAGACCUAAACCAAAAAUUUUGGUGGAAAAGGAUGAAAGUGGAUAUUGCUAAGUACGUUGCAGCUUGUGGUGUCUGCCAACAAGUAUAGACUGAGCAUAAAAGACCUGCAGGAUUAAUGCAAUCCUUAGAAAUCCCAGAAUGGAAAUAGGAACAUAUCACUAUGGACUUUGUUGUUGGGUUGCCUCGUUCACCUCGAGGCAGAGAUGUUUUUUGAGUUGUCGUGGGUAGGCUUACCAAAUCCGCACUUUUCAUUCCAAUGAAGACAACCAGUUCGGCACAUGAGUUGGCUCCUUUGUAUAUCAGGGAACUAGUGAGGUUGCAUGGUAUGCCAAAAUCGAUCAUUUCAGAUCGGGAUUCCAAAUUUGUAUCCCAGUUUUAGCAGAAUUUGCUUAUAAUAAUAGCUAUCAAGCAAGUAUUUGGAUGGCUCCUUUUGAGACCUUAUAUGACCGAAGGUGUGUUUCCCCUUUGUGUUGGGAUUUUGUUGGAGAGAUCACUUCUUGGUCCGGAUAUGGUUCAGCAAACAUCAGAAAAGGUGCACCAAAUAUGUCAGAACAUGUUGGCUGCUCAAAGUCGACAAAAGAGCUAUGUAGUUGUCCGGAGACGAGACUUAGUAUUUGCAGUUGGCGACCAUGUUCUUCUCAGGGUAUCACCAACCAAAGGUGUUGUACGUUUUGGUAUGUCUGGAAGCUUAACCCGAGAUACAUUGGUCCUUUUCUAAUCACAGCCCGAGUAGGCAGUUUGGCGUACCGUCUUGAAUUAUCAGACUCAAUGAGUAGAGUACAUAAUGUCUUCCAUGUUUCUAUGCUAAGAAAAUAUCUGGGAGGCCCUGAGCAUAAAAUUGAUGUUGAAUCAAUCACGAUAGAGAAAGAUCUGAUCGUAAAGUGCCACCCGGUACGUAUUCUGGAUUCCUCAGAGCGAGUUAUGAGGGGGAGGACUAUCAAGUUUGUGAGAGUCCUUUGGACAAAUCAAACAGAACGAGAAGCAACUUGGAAACUCGAAUAACAAAUGCGCAAGGAGUAUCCUGAGCUCUUUGAGACUGGUGAGUCAUAAGUUUUGAAAUAUUUUACCUCUGUUCCAUAGUUGCCAUGGAAGCGGUAGAAUUCGGGGACGAAUUCCUUUAAGGGGGGAAGAAUGUAAUACCGAAUUUUUGGAGAAAAAAUAAAAAGAGAUUUGACCAAAAAUUUUACUUUUUGAUCCGUUGCCUGUAUGGACGAUCGGAGACCGCGGUUGCGUUCAUCUCGUCGAGACGAACCCAUUUUGCUAUUCAUAUGUCUGUUCCGGGCAUUUUGUAACCCGUAGCAAGCCCAAUAAAUCUAGACCGUUCGUUGUUUUGAAAAAAAAAUAAAAAAAAAAGAGAGAGAUAAGUACUGGAUGGAUCGGUCCUCAACCCGAUCCAUCCAGACUCUUCAGUGCUCGUGCUUCGCGUCUUUCUCUCGCGUGUCUCUCUCUCUCACACACUCUCUCUCUCCAUCGCUGCUGUGCGCUGCUGUCCGCUGCGCCGGCCGUCGCCGCCAGAGCGUCGCGCCGCCGUGCGCUCGCGUUGCUGCCGCGCUGCCGUCCGCCGCGCCGACCGUCGCUGCCAGAGCUAGCGUCGCGCCGUCGUGCGCCUGCGCGCCGCUGCCGCGUGCGCCGCGCCGCCGCUGCCGCGUGCGCCGCGCCGCCGCCGUCGCGCCGCCGUGCGCGCUGCCGCCACCUGCUCUGUGCUGGCCGCCGUGAAGAAGCAAGCAGCAGCCAGCACCGAAGAAGCAAGCAAGCUGCCGGCAGAGCAAAGAAGCCAGGAAGAAAAAGGAGAAAAGAAAAGAAAAGAAAAGGAAAGAGGAAAAAAAAGAAGAAGAAAGAAAGGAAAAAAAAAGGGAAAAAAAAGAAGGAAAAGGGAAAAGUUGGAAAUUUCGGAUUUUCGUCGGAUUCAUCGUCAAUCUUUCGAAGGUGAUUUCUCGAUGGUACUAUUUUCGGACGUUCUUGAUCGAAUUUUCUUCAUCGUCGGUAAAGGCAAGUGAAUGUAUUGUAUGACUAUGCUUUAACCUAAUAUUGGGUUGCCUAUAUUCUUUAAUUACAGUGCAUUCAUCUAAUCUGAAUGACUGAUUCUGGGCUGAGUACUAUGUUGUUUACGUUUCCAGAAGUUUACUCGACGAUUGAUUUAUGAAGUGCAGUAGGCACGAUAUGCCAUUCUGCAGUUGUUCAUUAGUGUUGUAUGCAAUGUUUUUUUGAAGUCUCAAGCAUAUUCCGGAAGUUAUGUUGGUUAUGCUUGAAGCACGUCAUACAUAUACGUCUCAUGCAUUGGAAGUUUGUCGUCGUCUUCUGGCCGCGACCGUACCGGUACAGUACCGUAUGUCACCCGAGGAGGGGUACGGUGCACACCCUUACGUUACCCGAGGAGGGGUAAGGGUGAGAAGAGCAUGUCAUGUGCAUGGUUAUGUCUUCUUAUGAAAUUCAAUGAAUUAUUCAUAUCAAAUCUUAUUUCCUUUAGUUAGCGUGUAUAUAGAUAUAUAUGCAGCUCUGAAGGCUUAUACCAACCGAAUGUUAAAAUGUUUAAUGUUAUCGUUGGACUUGCUUAGUCAUAACUGUUUCUCCUAGUGUUGGCGGUUUGUUUCAUUACUAGUUUCUAUUUAGAAUUGUUAGCACAUUCAACUAUGGCUAAAUAGCUUUUUGUUAAAGUACCUUUCACUUGCUGAGAUUUUCGAAUCUCACCCGUGUUUUUUUUACAGGUAUGUUUCGAUGUUGACGUGCAUUUUGGGGAUGGAUCUCGGUAGCUGCACACACUAACUUAUCACGAUGUCGAUAGCUCAACCGGUGUAUACAAGUGGUGUGUCUGAUGGUCUGUCGUUUGUUUUUGUUUAUGUUGUGGUACGACGCUGGUAGCGUCGUGGUGGACUCUAUAUAUAUGCUGGUUAUAUCUGUUUCUGCCUGCCUGUGAUAUUUCUUUUGGUCAGUUAUACCUCUCUAUAGAGGAAAUACUGCCAAAAUUUCCUUUUUUUUAUAUAAAUAGGCUUGGUUGUAAA